GAUGAACGCUAGCGGCAGGCCUAACACAUGCAAGUCGAGGGGUAGAACACUUCGGUGUUUGAGACCGGCGCACGGGUGCGUAACGCGUAUGCAAUCUACCUUGUACAGGGGAAUAGCCCAGAGAAAUUUGGAUUAAUGCCCCAUAGUAUAUAACCUUCGCAUGUUGGUUAUAUUAAAGUUCCAACGGUACAAGAUGAGCAUGCGUCCCAGUAGUUAGUUGGUAAGGUAACGGCUUACCAAGACGAUGAUGGGUAGGGGUCCUGAGAGGGCGAUCCGCCACACUGGUACUGGGACACGGACCAGACUCCGACGGGAGGCAGCAGUGAGGAAUAUUGGUCGAUGGGCGCAAGCCUGAACCAGCCAUGCCGCGUGCAGGAAGACGGUCCUAUGGAUUGUAAACUGCUUUUAUACAGGAAGAAACAACUCUACGUGUAGAGUCUUGACGGUACUGUAGGAAUAAGGAUCGGCUAACUCCGUGCCAGCAGCCGCGGUAAUAC
rnacentral:rRNA from 1 species